AUGGCGAACAACGACAAAGGACGCAGAAAGUGGGGAAGAAUUUCACAAGAUAAUAUGGCGGAUUUUAAAUUGGGAAAGAAUAGAUCAACAGUGGAAAUGCGCGGUGGUGCAAGCCGGGCUCCUCCUCAGCCCUUAUAUAGGCCAGGAUGCGGCCCAUUACGUAAAUCAGGGUCAAGCUCUGACAAUUUUGACAGUGAGAACAACCUCCAGGAAAAGCCCAAGUCAUCUUUCUUUCAAAGCCGUGAGAAGCAACACCAGUUCAACAGUUCUUUUCUACCACAGGACAAUUCACUUUCAUCUCGAAUUGAAAGUAAUUCUGAUAAAUUGACUGAUAUGCGACUGAACUACAGAAAUAAUAGCAACGACCAGAUUCAAGCAUCAUCUAGGAAUAAUCAGGUUGGGGGCGAUCCAAAAAAGAAGAAUAAAAAACCAGAACAACCUCUUUAUGUGCCAAAAAAGGUUAAGGAGUCAUUGGCUGGGCGCGAAGUGGCUAAUAGAUCUCCAGUGCUUGGUGGAUGGGAUAGAGAACGAGAGAGAGAAAGAGAAAACAGCAGAGAUUGGGAUACCCAUUCCAAUCACAGCCAUCGAAAUGAGAGUCAUCGCAAUCUCGUGGGAGCUCAUGGUGGUGGUGGAAAUAAUCGUGGUGGAGGUAGGGAAGAACAUGGAAAACGUGGUGGAGGAAGUCGGCGAAACCGGAACCCAAGUGACUGUGAAGAACGUUGGAGACCAGACUCACCAUCUUCAGGGAGGAGUUAUGGAAAUAAAAGGGACAACCACCGAGAGAUUAGACAAGGUUCAGAGCCUCUUAUUGAUUCACCAAACACGACAGGCGACACUAAUCGAACUCGAGACACUAGAAGCGUUGAACCAGUUGGUUAUCCAGAAAAGUUUCAGGGGAAGCCACCCUCAGGAAGGCGCGGUAGUAUAAAGGACAAUUCAAUGCAUAGAAACUUGAAAAACUUUGAUCAUCUCCCUCCAAGAUUGCAAAGAAAAUUACUUGACAAGAACGGAUUACUUUCAACACAAAAUAGCUAUAUCGGCACUACUUCAGAGGAUACACAGUGGGAUGGAAGCACAGUUACUUAUCAGGGUACCUCUGGUUACAAUAAUUAUUCAUCGGCGAUGCAACAUUCUCAAACGAUGCAGCAUUUGAGACCGUCCGGACCUUUGCCAGCUCAGCAGAACUGGGCAAACACUAUUCCUGCCCGCAGCCGUGGUCGGGGAAGACUCAGACUGGAUGAAAUGGAAGCUCAGUCUCUGAUGUUUAGAUCUGUUACGCCUGAGCAGCUUUCAGCGCCUAAUACGAGACCUCAGACUCCUAAUCUAGAUUAUAUGAACCGAUCCUAUGAUCGUCGAGGUAGUAAUAGUACAAUGUACACGAGCGUAGAGAGUUUGAGCCGCAUGGAUAGCUUCACGAUGCCUCCUCCACCUCCAGCAAUUUCACCAGCAACGUCAAUACCAAACAGGAACAGACGUAACUCACCUCCUAACUAUCAAAGACAGAGGAAAGGGGCAUCUUCUCCUACCACGUCGCAGCAGCAUACCUAUCAGACACGACGUGGCAACAACUCGAGCGAACCUUCAAGCUCCAUGCAGGAAAGAUUGGAUCACAAACAAAUGCUGAAUCUUAGUCCAUCUAAAAGCGAACCAUUCAGUCCAUUGCCAGAUAUGUCUUCGGAACAUACGUUGGAUUGGAGUGAAGAAGUAGAAUUAACUGAGAAACUUGAGGCUGAACAGCUGUGUCGUAGCUCUUCGAUGAUUAGUCUUCGUGAUAAUACGAGUGGGGUAACUGGUAGUCAACCACCUGCUGAGGCAUCUAAAGGAAGGAAUCGAACGAAGAAAAAGAGACGCGGAAGAGCACACACUGGUGACAGGAGUUUAAGCAGGGAUAAAGUAAAAGAAAAUAGUCGAGAACGUGAUAAGAACCAACAGAAUAGAGAUCAUGACAAUUAUAAUAGCAAUCAGAAGGCCGCUGGUGCCAGCAGGCGGUAUAACAGGGAUCAUACUCAGAGUAACAAUGCCCAAAGGAGUCGUGAAACAAGUAAAGAAAGAAAUUUCAGAGGCAGUAGCCGGAAUCCUGAUGAUUUUCACAGAACCAGCUUUCUCUCCAGAGGUCAGGACUCGCAUACAGAUGAAAACUGGAGGGCGGGAAGAAAGCCUUCGAUAUGUGAUUCAGAUGAGGGUCGGCGCACUCCAUCUUCACUGACUACUCACACUCGUCAACAAUCUCCUCAUUCUGUUCCACUGUCAAAUUCACCACCUAAUUCUGUGUUGCAACAAAGUAAUUCUCAACCAAGUUAUAACAAUGCUCAGCCACCUGGUGUUCUAUUUUUACCUGAAACCAGCCAUUCGCCACCCAGUGUCACCCCAGCGAGACAAAAUUCAUCUCAGCAACAGAGAACUCUCUUCGACCCUAAUAAUCCCAACAAACCAAUCAUCAUUACGUCACCUGGAAGUAGAGCUGCUUUGGCUAGGGAAAAUGAAGCUCAAAGUCAGUCCUCUGGUGCACCUGUUUUCCAAUCUCAUCUUGCAAGUCCAGGUCACAGUUUUGAAGCACCUCAAUCGGAUAGUAUGCCACUCUACGUUACUGACGAGUUCGGUAAUAUGCGACCACCGUGGUAUAAUCCUAAUUCAGAAAGUUUCCGAUCAGCCAAGAAUCCUUAUUUACUUUUGGACAUAGGCCGGGCAGAUUUGGAGCUACAGUGGAUUUUAGGUUCAGGUGGUUUUCCGGCUAGCUGGGAGAGGCUUUCUUAUAUUCGGCGGUUCUUACAAGACAGUUUACAGAUGCUAUUGAAAACAGAUAUCAAGUUUUGUCAAGCUGAAAAUGUGGAGCAACACUUUUGGAAGAUAUUAUUUCACAAUAUGAUUGAAAUGUUACGGAAGGGUAUACCUAAAGAGAACUCGGAAGGACGUGAUCAUUAUAAGAAAAUAAUGAUAGAUAUCAUUGACGAGGGAACGGUAUAUUUAGAAAAUCUUCUGACUGUCCUUGAAAGUAGUUACAACUUUAAAUUGGACACGUUUCUGGUAUCUCCAUCGUUACCCAAAGGACUCGGACCUGUUGGCUUGGCUUUGGUCAGUGCACAGAAGAUAUUUCUAUAUCUUGGAGAUUUGGCUAGAUACAAAGAACAGGUUAAUGAAACCACCAACUACGGAAAGUCAAGGCACUGGUACGUCAAGGCUCAGCAGAUUAAUCCUAAAAAUGGGCGGCCAUACAACCAAUUAGCAGUUUUGGCAUAUUGUGCUAGACGAAAAUUAGACGCCGUUUACUUUUACAUGCGGUCACUGAUGGCAUCCAAUCCAUUUCACUCUGCCAGGGAAAGUCUGAUAGCACUUUUUGAUGAAAAUAGAAAAAAGUAUCUACAUUAUUAUGAGUCUACGGAACGAAAGCGUAAGGAAGAAAGAGAAUGGAAGGAACGAGCUCGCAUGAAAGAAAAAGAAGGGGCUGGCGGAGGAGGCGGAGGAUUGAGGCGAGAAAUUUGGAUUCAUCCUGGGGGCAGGAGGGUCACGCGAACAACAACUGCGGCUGCGGCAAGUGAAGCAAGACUAGCUCACAGUGACCCUGAGGAACUUUCCCAGUUGACCAGUGUCGAAGUGAACAAGCGAUUUGUAACGUCUUACCUCCAUGUUCAUGGAAAGCUGAUCACCAAAAUUGGGAUGGAAACCUUUCAGGAGGCUGGUAUCCAGAUGCUCAGAGAAUUUCGGGCUCUCCUUCAACACUCGCCUCUUCCUCUACCGGGAACUCGGCUUCUUCAGCUGCUAGCGCUUAAUAUGUUUGCCAUCGAGACGACGCAGCUCAAGGAGACACAACUGGAGCCUGGCUACAGAUCCGAGGUCCAAGAGCGCGCGCUAGUCGUAUCCUUGCAAAUGUUCAGCUUGAUCCUUGAGAGGGCUGUUUCAUUGUUGAGGGUGCAGCUUCAACGUGAUCAACACCCUAGACUGAUAGUCGAUGAAGACAUGCAAGUUUUACUCCCUGCCAUCAAGAUAUGGUGCGAUUGGAUGUUGUGUCACAGUACCGUAUGGAAUCCACCGCCAUCUUGCACGGAUUAUCGCGUCGGACCACCCGCAGAUGUUUGGAGUAGAUUGGCCACGAUGGUAAACCUCUUGGAUAAGCUGGACCAUCAGACAGCCUCAUUUACUAGCGACAGUGAGGCCGACGGAUUGGAGCUUGUCAGGCUACCAGAAGAUUCCACUCUCUCAGGAUUCACUCCUCUCAUGUCGAAUCCUCAGGAGCCAAUUUUUGUCAAGAAAGAGGAGGAUAUGGAAGUGGCCCAAGUUUGUUUGCGGAUACACAAAAUACUUUUCUUCGGACAAGUGUUCCUCUGCGGUCUUGAGACUCCGGUUCUUAAGCUACAAAAAUGUGAGACUGGUGACAGUGAGUACGUUUCUGUCGUGGAAACCUCAACAGCAAGUUCCCCUAGCUCACCACCUGAACAAAGUGACUCGGAAAUCCUCGUCGAAAGCUACAGUGAAGGUGAGGAGGAUUUGCCGGUGAUGAGGCGGCUACCCUCGAAUUCCGGCGCAUCGGCUGAGAAUUCGUUGUGGACGACAGCACCGACGGGGGAGAUCAGGUCACUCAUAGAACGAAAAGAAGAACUCGAAAGGCGCCAGAGGAAGCAAGAACGUCAUCGGCAGCGAGUCCAGGCGAUAUUGCAAAAGUCUACAGUAUCCGUGGAAAUCGAAGUGAAACCAAGGCAACUGGUUCCGGACACGAAUUGCUUCAUUGACUAUCUGCCUCAGCUUCAGACAAUCGCCAAGGCAACUUCCGGUUCACAACCCAUCUACACGUUAAUGGUGCCUUUAGUCGUUCUCAACGAGCUGGAGGGUCUUGCUCGUGGAGGAGACGCCCGCGAUUGUCCGCCGGCUUCGAGAGCUGCCCUGAACCCUGAGCACGUCGCCAGGGUUGCUGAAAGAUCGAGGGUGGCCCUGGCCUUUGCUCGCAGCAAAAAUCCAGCAGUGCGUUGUCUUACAACCAGAGGAACGGUCCUCACCUCGAGCACCUUUACCGUCGAGGAAGACGUCGAUCAGGGCGGUUUAACCAGGAACGACGACAGAAUUCUGGCCACUUGUUUAAGCUUAUGUCGAACUAGCAGCAAGGAGCUUAACAGCGUCGCAGAAGGUCAACCGCGUAGGCUACGACGCGAGGUAGUAUUACUUACGGAAGAUAGAAAUCUUCGGGUGAAAGCAUUGGCACGAGAUGUCCCUGUCCGUGAAGUACUAGACUUCAUGCAGUGGGCCAGUCUUGGAUGAUUACCGAGAGCGCCAAGUUCGCUUUCUAUUAGAAAAAAUGAAAAAUAAAAAAUAAGGAUAAUAAUGAUCAGAAAAAUCAAUGGAAAUAGCGAUAAAUGGAUGAAAUAAAGUCAAACAUCGAUCCAUCUCGCACCAGCAGACAGAUCUUCAUUGCCAGCAGACGAUGCAUCGGGCCAUUGGGAUGACGCUAAUCCUCAGAAUGGUGGGUUUCAUUUCUAUCAUUGUGAUGUUACUGUUCUCAUCGAUGUAUCAGUGUGAGUGCGAAAUUCGAAAGCAGGACAGAAACGCCAAGGGACUAGAAAAGGGAAGUAACGUAUAGGAAUAAAAACUAAACUCCCAUCAUUCUAAUGGAAAUUUAUUAACUAGAACUCUUGAAUACGUGUUCUUUGGACAAGUUUUGGAGUAAUUCUUAACGCACUAUUUUAAUGAUAUAAUAGUCGAUAAUAACGCGAAUAAUAACAUUCGUAUUUUUCUAACACCGAUUUAUUAUAUGUUAUUGCUGUAGUAAUUAUACUUAUACAUAUAUCAAAUUACACACGCGUAUGUUGUGACUAGGCACAUAACGUAGACGUAGAAUUGUCAAUUUAAUUUUAUUUUUCUCAAAUUACUAUUACUACACUACUAUUUGACUAUUAGGAUUAAAUUGUAAUGCUUUGAACGACAUGAUAAGAAACGAUAGGAUAGCGUAAGCGUUAUAGUUAUACGAGUAGAUUAAGAACUUUUAAGGAAGAUAUUAGCAAAUAUGCAUACAUUCCUAAACUUAUCUGAAUACCUUAAUUUUAUAACUGAAUCAAGUGUAAGAAACGAUAGAAAAAGAGAAAAAAAAGGAAAGGUUUGUCGAUGAUUUAACCCGUAUCUGAUUCAUAUUCCUUUUGUCAAGUUACACAAUACAUUUUUUCACCAAUAAAUAUAUACGUACACAUACAUUUGUACACACAUAUGUACUUUAAAUCACACUGCAUGCAAUACAGUUUUUAUUAUUAUUGUUACGUAUUUAUAUAUACAAAGCUCUAUUAGCAUCAUUAUCAUUAUAUACAUGAUGGUAAUAUACUAUUUUUUGACAAACCAUGGAGACAUGGAUAUUUGAUAAUAUUACACCACACUUAUCUGUAUCUUUAUAGUGAAAUAAGAAUGAUGUUUGCAAAUGAUAUGUAGUGAAAGCUAUAUUGCUGUAUGUUUGCGUCAGGUUGCGUAAAUUUACUAUUUCGAUGACACGAACGAAUUUUAAUGAAUGAGAUGGAGUAAAAAAACAAACAAGGGGAAUGAGGCCAGACCGACAUUUACGUCAGAAUUUUAAUCAUACGAAGAAGGGGAAUUCUUAGUAGAAAAAAAAGUAGCUCGCUUAUUCUCAGUAUCUUCUGGUUUCGUUUAUGCUUUGAUGAUCGUUAAAAGCAGUUUCAACGUGUCAAAAAAUGGGACAUGACAACAUGAAGUUUCUUUGAAAAUAGCACUACUGUGAAUAAGAAAAAUGUGUCUCCUUGCGCUGUUGGAGUUGCCAUUUCUUUAAAACAUAAAACCAAUUUUUAAUGUUCGACUAGGCCUUAACUCUCACAUUUUUGUUUUAUUCGAAUUUUUUCCUGGAUGUAAUAGGAGGUCAAAGACACUCAAUCUUUAGCUGGCAUCUUUACCUGGUAUAAUAUUCCUGGCACCUUGGGGUCGGUGAAAGCUUCAACCGAAAAUUGCUUGCUAUAACGAAGCAAUUUAACAUUUUCACUUCAAUUUUUUUUUUUUUUUUUUUAUAUAUUCACUUAAUUGUCUUUUAUAAGAUAAAAAUGUCGUAACAAUAAUUUUCAAAUUCAAUUGACCCCAAGGUGCCAGUAAUGUUAUACCAGAUGAAGGUGCCAGGUAAAGAUUAAAAACCCUUAGGUCACGAACGAUCCCGAAGUGCCAGAUAAAGGUUAAAUUAACUGCCUUACAUUUUCAUGAAAAAUCUCUAAUGAGUAAUAACUGUCAAAAGUCGUGAUUAAACGCCUUAACUGUAAAAUCUGAGAUAAAAACCGAAAAUGCUACUUUUUGUUUCGAUCACUUCGGCACAAGACCCAUGGUGGUAAAGAAUCUACUUCUAAGUAUUUAAAGACGAAGUUUUUUUUAUUCCACAAAAACAUGGAAAAUUUUUAUUUAGCGAACACUUUUAUGGCUUACGCGUUUUUUUCCUCUAUAUUCCGUACGUAAAGUAAUCGUUUUCUGCGACAGUAAGAAAAAGAGCACCGAAGUACAAAAAAGUGAAGUUUUACGACCUUGUGACACCUUUUUUUAAACAAAGUAUUGUAAGCACCAUGGGAGCAAAGUUUUUUUUAUAUAACGCGAGCAUGUUUUACGUGUUUUUUCAUGCAUGUUUCCCGUACACAAAGUACUCGUUUCUAUAACGGUAGAGUGAGUCUACGAAUGCGCAUGCGCGUAGUACAUAAUAAACAAUUUUUAACUCCUAGGAGUUAACUAAACUGACAUUACGCGACCAUAACCUCAAUUUAGUGCCUCGUGAAAAAACGUCUGACAUACUCUUGUUAUAUAAAGAAUCGUGUGCAACAAGUAGGCAACCGUUUUUUCACCACACCUGCACGGAAAGUACAACUUUCGGCCCCUCGCAUAAACGGAAAGUUGUACUUUCCCUGCACGUGUGGUAAAAUAUACUAAAUAUACUAUUUCGCCACACGUAUUUGCAAUAUUCGUCUUCAGCUUGCGCACGCACUCGCCUACGACUCAUAUUGUACACUUACUUACUUUACAUAAGUAAACUACUUUGCUUCUUUAAUAUACAAUCUACUAUUUUUAUACGCUUUGGUUUAAUUGGGUAGUUAUCAUUUUUUAGGUUCUUUAAGACACUUUGAAAGUUCGAUAAACUUUUCGUUUCUAAAUCCAAUAAAUAGUAACUUAUUCAGUAUAAAGAAAUAACAUUUUUUCGUGUCUUGAACAAAUAAAAAAUGUUGUAGGUGUCUAAACACCUAGAAAGAGUUUGCUUGCCGUCAUUAGUCUUGUUGCAGAAUGAAGUAAAGCACUUUCAGCAUUUUAUCAGGUUUUACACUUUAGGCGUUUUUACCACUUUUGACAGUUGAUGCGCGAAGGGGAUUUUUC